rnacentral:lncRNA from 1 species
AUCUGCAAUUCUCCUGAACCAAUUCUGACGGAUAAUAUGACUGUGUCAACCACAAAAGAGGAAAAGAAUGGGCUUUAAAUCCCGCCUUUACAGCCAUCCAAGGCAGGUCCUUCUUCAAAGGAUGGAACUUUAAGGAUGGAACCAAUUGGCUACAAAUCAUUUUAGCUGAUGCACUGAGACAAUUCUGAAGCAAACUGUCUUAUCCUGGAUUUUGUCAGUAACUGGAGUUGAAGGACUUGAAGAUUCUCAAGGUAACAUCUAUGAAAAAUGGGCUUUCUCUUUUUGUUCAUCUUUCCACAUCCUGAAUUCACCCCUUAAAAGUUAUGUAGAUCAACAUGGCAAUUCUCUGAGCCUCAGUCUGUUGUAAUUUGGCAGAGUUUUUGUGAUAAUUAAGCA